ACGCUGGCGGCGUGCCUAAUACAUGCAAGUCGAACGAACUCUGGUAUUGAUUGGUGCUUGCAUCAUGAUUUACAUUUGAGUGAGUGGCGAACUGGUGAGUAACACGUGGGAAACCUGCCCAGAAGCGGGGGAUAUCACCUGGAAACAGAUGCUAAUACCGCAUAACAACUUGGACCGCAUGGUCCGAGCUUGAAAGAUGGCUUCGGCUAUCACUUUUGGAUGGUCCCGCGGCGUAUUAGCUAGAUGGUGGGGUAACGGCUCACCAUGGCAAUGAUACGUAGCCGACCUGAGAGGGUAAUCGGCCACAUUGGGACUGAGACACGGCCCAAACUCCUACGGGAGGCAGCAGUAGGGAAUCUUCCACAAUGGACGAAAGUCUGAUGGAGCAACGCCGCGUGAGUGAAGAAGGGUUUCGGCUCGUAAAACUCUGUUGUUAAAGAAGAACAUAUCUGAGAGUAACUGUUCAGGUAUUGACGGUAUUUAACCAGAAAGCCACGGCUAACUACGUGCCAGCAGCCGCGGUAAUACGUAGGUGGCAAGCGUUGUCCGGAUUUAUUGGGCGUAAAGCGAGCGCAGGCGGUUUUUUAAGUCUGAUGUGAAAGCCUUCGGCUCAACCGAAGAAGUGCAUCGGAAACUGGGAAACUUGAGUGCAGAAGAGGACAGUGGAACUCCAUGUGUAGCGGUGAAAUGCGUAGAUAUAUGGAAGAACACCAGUGGCGAAGGCGGCUGUCUGGUCUGUAACUGACGCUGAGGCUCGAAAGUAUGGGUAGCAAACAGGAUUAGAUACCCUGGUAGUCCAUACCGUAAACGAUGAAUGCUAAGUGUUGGAGGGUUUCCGCCCUUCAGUGCUGCAGCUAACGCAUAAGCAUACCGACGCGGCCACGGGCUAAGGGA
rnacentral:rRNA from 1 species